UAUCCUGUCUGAAUAUGGGGGGACCAUCCUCCAAGGCUAAAUACUCCUGACUGACCGAUAGUGAACCAGUACCGUGAGGGAAAGGCGAAAAGAACCCCGGCGAGGGGAGUGAAAAAGAACCUGAAACCGUGUACGUACAAGCAGUGGGAGCACGCUUAGGCGUGUGACUGCGUACCUUUUGUAUAAUGGGUCAGCGACUUAUAUUCUGUAGCAAGGUUAACCGAAUAGGGGAGCCGAAGGGAAACCGAGUCUUAACUGGGCGUUAAGUUGCAGGGUAUAGACCCGAAACCCGGUGAUCUAGCCAUGGGCAGGUUGAAGGUUGGGUAACACUAACUGGAGGACCGAACCGACUAAUGUUGAAAAAUUAGCGGAUGACUUGUGGCUGGGGGUGAAAGGCCAAUCAAACCGGGAGAUAGCUGGUUCUCCCCGAAAGCUAUUUAGGUAGCGCCUCGUGAAUUCAUCUCCGGGGGUAGAGCACUGUUUCGGCAAGGGGGUCAUCCCGACUUACCAACCCGAUGCAAACUGCGAAUACCGGAGAAUGUUAUCACGGGAGACACACGGCGGGUGCUAACGUCCGUCGUGAAGAGGGAAACAACCCAGACCGCCAGCUAAGGUCCCAAAGUCAUGGUUAAGUGGGAAACGAUGUGGGAAGGCCCAGACAGCCAGGAUGUUGGCUUAGAAGCAGCCAUCAUUUAAAGAAAGCGUAAUAGCUCACUGGUCGAGUCGGCCUGCGCGGAAGAUGUAACGGGGCUAAACCAUGCACCGAAGCUGCGGCAGCGACGCUGAUGCGUUGUUGGGUAGGGGAGCGUUCUGUAAGCCUGCGAAGGUGUGCUGUGAGGCAUGCUGGAGGUAUCAGAAGUGCGAAUGCUGACAUAAGUAACGAUAAAGCGGGUGAAAAGCCCGCUCGCCGGAAGACCAAGGGUUCCUGUCCAACGUUAAUCGGGGCAGGGUGAGUCGACCCCUAAGGCGAGGCCGAAAGGCGUAGUCGAUGGGAAACAGGUUAAUAUUCCUGUACUUGGUGUUACUGCGAAGGGGGGACGGAGAAGGCUAUGUUGGCCGGGCGACGGUUGUCCCGGUUUAAGCGUGUAGGCUGGUUUUCCAGGCAAAUCCGGAAAAUCAAGGCUGAGGCGUGAUGACGAGGCACU
rnacentral:rRNA from 1 species